rnacentral:rRNA from 1 species
AUGUCCCGCAUAAAAUUUAUCUGUUUCUUUAUUGUACUAACCAGUACUAAUAAUAUUAUCCUUUUAUAUAUGUGGCUGCAGCAAAGUGGCGUACCAAAGCCUGUUGUUGUAGUUGGUUCUUCCUCUGCUCAUCCAGUACUAGUGGGUAGUGAUGAUCCUCCAGAAACUGCCCCAGCCACCAGUGGACAGAAGCGUAGAAAUUUAUCGCCAACUCAUGCUGACAAGGAAGCGAGGAACCCCCUCAAGCGCAAACUUGACUUUUCCCAUGGAUGUGAUUUUUCUGAACCAAUAACAUUGGACGGUCCGUCAUUAGAUGUUGAACUCAGUAACUUGGUUAAUGAUGAAGAUUUUGAUCACUUUCUCACGGGAGAAAAGGACCAUGGCCUUGGUGACCUCUCGAUUUAUCCGUCGAGGAUUAUACCAUUGGCGAGUGUGGCGCAAGUCGUCCACCUUCCAGCCCGGGUGUGA